rnacentral:rRNA from 1 species
UACGAAGGGGGCUAGCGUUGCUCGGAAUUACUGGGCGUAAAGCGCACGUAGGCGGCUCUUUAAGUCGGGGGUGAAAUCCUGGAGCUCAACUCCAGAACUGCCUUUGAUACUGAAGAUCUUGAGUUCGGGAGAGGUGAGUGGAACUGCGAGUGUAGAGGUGAAAUUCGUAGAUAUUCGCAAGAACACCGGUGGCGAAGGCGGCUCACUGGCCCGAUACUGACGCUGAGGCACGAAAGCGUGGGGAGCAAACAGG